rnacentral:snoRNA from 1 species
AGUCCAUUGUGAGGGCAUCACCUAAGCAAAUCCUUGUAUCUCUCCCAUGCUUUCAUACAGUGGUUCACUCUCAAGUCGGGCAAAAUUAGAGAUUUCAAUAUGCAUCU